rnacentral:rRNA from 1 species
GAUGAACGCUGGCGGCGUGCCUAAUACAUGCAAGUCGAGCGAACAGACGAGGAGCUUGCUCCUCUGACGUUAGCGGCGGACGGGUGAGUAACACGUGGAUAACCUACCUAUAAGACUGGGAUAACUUCGGGAACCGGAGCUAAUACCGGAUAAUAUAUUGAACCGCAUGGUUCAAUAGUGAAAGACGGUUUUGCUGUCACUUAUAGAUGGAUCCGCGCCGCAUUAGCUAGUUGGUAAGGUAACGGCUUACCAAGGCGACGAUGCGUAGCCGACCUGAGAGGGUGAUCGGCCACACUGGAACUGAGACACGGUCCAGACUCCUACGGGAGGCAGCAGUAGGGAAUCUUCCGCAAAGGGCGAAAGCCUGACGGAGCAACGCCGCGUGAGUGAUGAAGGUCUUCGGAUCGUAAAACUCUGUUAUUAGGGAAGAACAAAUGUGUAAGUAACUAUGCACGUCUUGACGGUACCUAAUCAGAAAGCCACGGCUAACUACGUG